UACAGAGGUCCCAAGCGUUGUUCGGAUUCAUUGGGCGUAAAGGGUGUGUAGGUGGCGCCGUAAGUCGGGUGUGAAAUCUCGGGGCUUAACUCCGAAACUGCAUUCGAUACUGCGGUGCUUGAGGACUGGAGAGGAGACUGGAAUUCACGGUGUAGCAGUGAAAAUGCGUAGAUAUCGUGAGGAAGACCAGUGGCGAAGGCGGGUCUCUGGACAGUUCCUGACGCUGAGGCACGAAGGCCAGGGGAGCAAACGGG
rnacentral:rRNA from 1 species